rnacentral:lncRNA from 10 species
AAACUCGUGACGUCCCCGCGUGACCUCACCGCUGCGGGGCGAUGGAGCGAAAAGUGAGGAAACUGAAGUCCCGGGAGAGACAGUGGCAAGGUCAAGUAGCAAAGUGCACUCAGCCCUCCCAGCAAGGAGUCUGCCACUCGCGCUUGAAGGACGUGUUUGAAGAGCUGCUUUCCCAGUGGGAUGCUGCCUUAAAGUCUUGAUUCCCUGGCACUCUUUCCUAUUACUACAUUUUAUCGGUGCUGUUUGUGUUAUGCAACGGUAGCAUCGUGUCUCCGGAAGAUAAAAAAGGUCUCGAUACAAACAUCCAUAACCUUCCACCCACUCCGUCAGGAACAACCCAAUCAAAAUAAAGUCAUGAGAAUUUA